ACGCAUGACUAUCAGGUCAAGAUGCGCAGCGUGGUGAAAUUCCUCGAAGGUGGCGAUAAGGUAAAGAUAACCCUGCGCUUCCGCGGACGCGAAAUGGCGCAUCAGGAUCUCGGCCGUCAGCUUCUCGAACGAAUCGCCGACGACAUCAAGGAGGUCGGGCGCAUCGAGAACAUGCCCAAGAUGGAAGGCCGCCAGAUGAUCAUGAUCAUCGGGCCCGGUCCCAGAUAAUCGCGCAACCCGGCUGAAACGGAUGGUCCCCGGCCGAUGGUCCGGGGAUUUUUCGUCUUUCGCUUGCGCUGCGCUGUCUGUCGCGUAGGAUAUGGCGCUUUCCCUGACCGGAGCA
rnacentral:misc_RNA from 1 species